AGCCGAUAGCAACUCAAAUAGUGGGUUAGCCACUAUUUGAGUUGCUAUCGGCUGUAACCUUUCCUGAUGAAUUCUGGUUUUAAUUAAGUGUUGUAUUUCUGUAUCAUUUAUUUUUGUUUCUUUUCCACCUUGUGCAGAUGUACUCCACGUCUAUUCAAAAGACUUACAAUACUGAGUAGAAAAACCUAUCAUGUAAAAAGACUACUCCCAAGUCAUUUUGUGUGUUCAAUUAGAAAUUGAAAUCCCCAUAAAUGAGCAUCCAGCAUCCAAAAUGAUCACUGGAGCCACUGAACACAGAUGCCUGUCCACAGAGUCAGGGUCAAUUCCGAAUUGAAUUGAAAUUCAGAGGUCAAUUCCAGUUCAAGUGUGAUCAAGUGUGGAACUGGUAAUGAAUUGGAAUUGAGAAAAAUCUCAAAGUUUUGGAAUUGGAAUUGGAAUUUAAUUGAAUUGGCAUUUUUUAGAGAAUGGAAUUAGCAAUUCAAUUUCGAUUCCACUGAACACCCGUUUUUGCACAAAUCUAUUGCACUGAAUUGCUUUAAAAAACCUGAGGAAUAGUAUGCCCAGUGUAGCCAGGCUCAAUAGUCAACACAACUGUAUGUAUUUCACACAAUCACAACAACAGGCGUCAUGACUGAUGAGCUGAUUACAGCUUAAUUUCCACAAAGAAGAGGUAACUGAGAUAGGCAGAUCACUAGUAGCCACUUCUACUGAUAAAUUGCUUGUUGUCAUCUUUACAAAUGAGACUAUUAGUAUGACAAUUGUGAUGUGAAUGUUAACUCCUGUUCUCAAUUAAUUGGAAAGAGCUAACCUGCCCUACAGCUCUAUUCAAGACCCAGCCUUACACUUAGUCUUUGUUGAGUACAUUUUUGGAAAGACGAGGGUGACUGGGAGUGUUAGGAUCUGGAGAGUAGUUGACUGUGUUGAAGAGUUUUUGAAGGAUUGCUUGGAUUCUGGACCUGGAUUGGAACCGAGAACUCGGAUCGUGUGAUUGUCCCUGGACUAGAUGAGGAACUGAGGAAUGGAAUAAAGACAAUUUUGCUUGCUUUUUGACUACAAACUUUGCCUGUCGAUUUAAACAUUGUUGUCUUUAGGUGCCACAAUGUCAAACCAUUGUGCUAUAUGUAAAUAUUGCAGAACAUCUGUCUCUGGUCCAACAAAAGCUACGUCCAACUUCAUAAGGCGCCUCAAUAGAAAGCACCCUGCCAUCCUUGGGGAGUUUGAUGAUCAAUCUGACUUCAAACCCUAAGAAGUGGGAGGCCACAGAUCCUCGCCAAGUGAAGCUUACCAAGAACAUUGUUUGCUUUAUUGCUAAUGAUCUCAUGCCCCUGUCUGUUGUAGACAGCACAGCCUUUCAUGACAUCCUUAGCACAGCUGAACCAUGCUUUACCAUGCCCAACAGGAAACUCCUCAGCCAGAAGCUGUUUCCUUAACACACCUCCGGUGUCCAAGAUCAACUGAGGAGUCAAAUGCAGCAAGCCCAGGACAUCUACCUUACCAUAGAUCUGUGGUCAGGUAGAGAUAUGAGGUCCUUUAUUGGCAUCAAGGGCCACUUCAUCGUGUACUACACGCUGCAUUUUAGGGGCUCACAUACUGCAGAGAACAUCUACGGAAUGUAUGAGAAGACAAUUGAAGUCUAGAACAUGGCUGACAAAGUUUCAGGCAUAGUGACUGACAAUGCUGCCAACAUGGUGAAGGCAUUCACCAUAUUCCCACCAUUGGAUGUCCAAUGGUGACGAAGACUGGGAUGAGUGAGGGGUAUUUUUCAUUGGCAUACUCCAUCGCUAAAUUAUUUUCAUUUUCAGUGAGGUUUUUUCCCUGAAAUGAUGGAUGGAUCAGAUUGGGGAGUAGAUGAGCUGGUGUUAUCAAUUGGUCGUAUCUGGCCUUAAACUUCUUGGUCACUUCUUUGUCCCCUGUCAGUUGCUUCUCCAGUUCUUUCCAAAUAAAUACUGCCUCUGCAUCUUGUCAAGAGCAGCAGCUGUUGGCUCAAGUCGGGCAAGUAACUCUUCUGCUGACCUCUUCAGUGCAAGGUUCAACACUUUGUUUGUGACAAUGGCAUCAAUUACAUGUAACUCCAUAUUGUGUCCUGUGGCAAAUGAGGUUGAAAGCCUUGCUGAAUCUAAUGGAUCUGGCAGAUUAGAUGAUGUGGUUGAUGCUGAAACAACACUAUUUGACUCUGAAAUUAUAAAGAAAUAACAUUUUCUAAUUUAGUGUAGAAAAAAUACAUAAUAGCAAAAAUACUAGUUUGUUUUUCCUUGUCAAUUUUAAGAACUUAUAGUGGCUCAAAACUAAUUUAACUUUUAAUUUAAAAAUUAUUUUAACUUUAUUAAAGUAACGUAAUAACAACCAUUAGACCUUGAAUUUGUACUGUAGUUUUUCCUAAUAUUUUCAGAAAAUAUUUAAAUUCCAUUUUAAAAUGACAAAGUGCAUACCAAAUUAAUCUGACUUUAGUCAGAUUUUUUUAUUGCAACUGAUUGUAUAAUUAUAUGAACUGUAAAAUAAAAUUAAAAUAUAUCAUUGAUUCGGAACUUACCAGCUUCAUCUUGUUCCAGUUGUUCACCAUCCUGUGCAACACAUUUCUUCAGUGAUUCUUCAGUCAUGCAACGAGACCUUGCAGUUCAAACUGGCAUUUUUUCCAUUUAGUUCUAUACCCCUUUCCAGUUUUAGAUUGUAUUUUCUUAAAAUGAGACCAAAUUGGGUCACUUUUUCUGACAUGCUGUCUUGUCACCGACUACAUGUAGAUUAACACUUAUUUUGUUUGACCUGACAAACAAAUUUUUAUUUUGUAAACAAACAAUGCCAGGCCAAUAUGACCCCAGAUAUUUAUUAAUGUAACUUUGUAUAAUUUAGACAAUGCUUUCAAUUGGUCUUUCCAUUAUAUAUUGCAUUACUAUUGUUAUUAUUAUUUCUGGAAAUUGCUUGUACCUGUCUGAACAGAUGUUGGCAAAAAAAAAGGGCUUAUAAAAAUAUGUGUUAGGCUUAGGUUAGUAGAGACUAAUUUUCUUGGCAAGUAACAGCCUCUUUCUGAUAAUGUACCAUAGUUACAGUUAUACUAAAUUCUGCACUAUCCUCCAACUUUUUUGUGUGUUAUAAAAUUGAAAAAUAACUUUAUGAUCUAAUUAAAUAAUGUAUACCUCA